GGUUAAGUGACUAAGCGUACACGGUGGAUGCCUGGGCAGUCAGAGGCGAUGAAGGACGUACUAACUUGCGAUAAGCGCAGAUAAGGCAGUAAGAGCCGUUUGAGUCUGCGAUUUCCGAAUGGGGAAACCCAACUGCAUAAGCAGUUACUGUUAACUGAAUACAUAGGUUAACAGAGCAAACCGGGGGAACUGAAACAUCUAAGUACCCCGAGGAGAAGAAAUCAACCGAGAUUCCGGUAGUAGCGGCGAGCGAACCUGGAUUAGCCCUUAAGCACUCGGUGAAGUAGGUGAACAAGCUGGAAAGCUUGGCGAUACAGGGUGAUAGCCCCGUAACCGACGCUUCAUCGAGCGUGAAAUCGAGUAGGGCGGGACACGUGAUAUCCUGUCUGAAUAUGGGGGGACCAUCCUCCAAGGCUAAAUACUCCUGACUGACCGAUAGUGAACCAGUACCGUGAGGGAAAGGCGAAAAGAACCCCUGUGAGGGGAGUGAAAUAGAACCUGAAACCGUGUACGUACAAGCAGUAGGAGCACCUUCGUGGUGUGACUGCGUACCUUUUGUAUAAUGGGUCAGCGACUUAUAUUCAGUGGCAAGGUUAACCGUAUAGGGGAGCCGUAGCGAAAGCGAGUCUUAACUGGGCGCUCAGUCUCUGGAUAUAGACCCGAAACCGGGUGAUCUAGCCAUGGGCAGGUUGAAGGUUGAGUAACAUCAACUGGAGGACCGAACCGACUAAUGUUGAAAAAUUAGCGGAUGACUUGUGGCUAGGGGUGAAAGGCCAAUCAAACUCGGAGAUAGCUGGUUCUCCCCGAAAGCUAUUUAGGUAGCGCCUCGGACGAAUACUACUGGGGGUAGAGCACUGUUAAGGCUAGGGGGUCAUCCCGACUUACCAACCCUUUGCAAACUCCGAAUACCAGUAAGUACUAUCCGGGAGACACACGGCGGGUGCUAACGUCCGUCGUGGAGAGGGAAACAACC
rnacentral:rRNA from 1 species